rnacentral:lncRNA from 1 species
AAGCUUAUUCUUGCACAAAGUAGUUCUCUCCUGUACCACAUUAGCUGCUGCCCAUAUCUUUCCUGCAUCAAUGCUAAUAGUAAUAAGUGGCUUGUAGGACUUGUUUAUGAUGUUGAAACAAUCUUCUAGAAAUAAUAAAAACCUCAGAGUUUAAUCACAUAGUGCCUGCGCAUUGUAGUGGAUUUUUUCUACAUAGGUCGAAAUAAUUGUUUCUUAUGUACAGAAAAUGUGAAAGAACUCAUUUGUUAGCACCUCUCUAUACAAUCCAUAGAGGAGCUUUCUAUACAAAAAAAAACAUGUCAGUGUUCUUAGAUUCACUGCUUCAUUUUGGCUUUAUUUUCCUCGCAUGAUGGUCUACACAUUGUUAGCUCACCUCUAAACUUUAUUGAAAAAAAGUACGGUGGCAUUCGAAUUUUUUAGAACAUCCCAUCUCACUGCUCAACUCCAUAAAAGAAAGUGAAAUUCAGUAAAACUUAUUAUUUCUGUAACGUUCAGCCGUGUGCUUCCAGUGCGGAAAUCCUUAGGACAUCGGAAGAUGAUUAAAAAUUGGAAUAGUAUAUAAUAUUCGGUACGAAAUUACUAAAUAACUUGAAACUUGAAUUAAUUAUUUUAGAUCAAGUGAAGUGAAAAAAGAAAGGAAAAGAGGGAAAAAGAAAAAAGCAAUGCUACGCGUAUGAAAAUUAAACGGGAAAAUCCACAAUUGCCUAAGGCUUCUCUGUACUUUUUUUUAAUCAUCAUCAACAACACAAAAUCUAAAUUUAUCAAGCUCGAGAACACAAUCAAAAUUCAAUGUUUAAACCAAUUAAAAUUCUCCAUAAUCACAUUAUCGAUAUAUAUACACAACUGUAAAUUUGCUAAAAUGAAAGGAAUAAUAUAAACUAUUGAUCAAAAGCACCUGUAUUUGUUGAUCUAUCUCUGUCUUCAUACCUGUCAUGGUAUGGCAGUAUGUAUUGAAGCUCAAUGAAAAGAAAAACAAGAGAUGAAGAAUGCAUCUGCCUUCUUCGGAUCCAAAACCCUACCUAUUUACUGCUUCCUCAUUCCCAAAUUCUUGGGCGACUGCGACAAAUUCUCUCUUGUAUCAUCUUGUUCUCGCGUCGCGCGUCGUCUAAGCAGAAACUAUUGGUCUUUGUUAAUUGUCAUAGGCUAUAAUGGUGGUUCGAUAUAUGCAAAAAGGAGAGGACAAAGAGAAUUGUCCCUCGGGGGAAGGUAAGGAGAGGAAAGAUUCUUGGAAGAGUAUUUUGAGGCUUUGUAUUUGCGGAUGUAGGAUCUUAC